rnacentral:rRNA from 1 species
GCACAAGCAGCGGAGCGUGUGGUUUAAUUCGUUGCUACACGAAGAACCUUACCUGGGUUUGACAUAUAGGUUGUAGGGAACUGAAAAGGGACCGACCCUUUCGGGGGAGCCUAUACAGGUGUUGCAUGGCUGUCGUCAGCUCGUGUCGUGAGAUGUUCGGUUAAGUCCGCUAACGAGCGCAACCCUCGUCGUAUGUUAUAUGUGUCAUACGAGACUGCCGGUAAAAAGCCGGAGGAAGGUGAGGAUGAUGUCAAGUCAGCAUGACCUUUAUAUCCAGGGCUACACACACGCUACAAUGGUCUGUACAAUGGGUAGCCAAGCCGCGAGGCGGAGCCAAUCCUGAAAGCAGGCCUCAGUUCAGAUCGCAGGCUGCAACCCGCCUGCGUGAAGCCGGAGUUGCUAGUAACCGCAGGUCAGCUAUACUGCGGUGAAUACGUUCCCGGGGCUU